UACGUAGGCAGCGAGCGUUGUUCGGAGUUACUGGGCGUAAAGAGUGCGUAGGCGGUUUUCUAAGUUUGGUGUGAAAUCUCCCGGCUUAACUGGGAGGGUGCGCCGAAAACUGGAAGGCUUGAGUAUGAGAGAGGUAAGCGGAAUUCCUGGUGUAGCGGUGAAAUGCGUAGAUAUCAGGAGGAACACCUGCGGUGUAGACGGCUUACUGGACCAUAACUGACGCUGAGGCACGAAAGCGUGGGUAGCAAACAGG
rnacentral:rRNA from 1 species